CAUGUCUAAAAAAUAUUUCAAAGUUAGAAAGCCACGUAGUCCAUACCCCUCACUGACAACAAACCUACUUCAUGUUAGUGUUGACGUUUCUAAAAACUAAAGGCAUUGAAAGAUGUUUGGGAACUGUCGUUUCACUGCAGUUUGCAGUGUUUCGUUUCGUUGUUUUCUGUGAAUUGCAGAUUCAGUGGAUGUUCUCCAUCCUGCCCUGAUGCAUCAUCCCCGCUGCAGUGAGUGGACUGGCAAGGAUGGGGCGGCGAGAAGGUUUCUUCAGUUUCAUCUUGAAGUUCAUCCCAAAUUCAUCUCAGUGACUCAAAUUGACUUCUCACUUUUACUCUGUAGGCUCAGACCAAGCUCAGUUCUCGGUGGAGAAAAUACAUUUACUAUGAACUGAGAAAAUGAGGAAUUGGGAAUAAGAAGUGAAACUGUUGUCCCCAAGCAGACUCCUGUUUCUGUCCCACAUGUCUGAAUGUCAUUCCGAAAGGCACAAAAUAAGACAUGAACCCACCUCCCCAACAGUGGACUGUACUUGCAGCGUGCCAGAAUAACUAACUGUAAAUACAGUAAGCACCCCAGGCUGAAAACAAAGGCAGUGUUAAGACAAGGUUAUAUAUCUGGCAUGCCCCGUGCUGUUUAUCAAGACCAGGCACAGAGAUCAGCAAUGGCAGAGUUCUUGUUUACAAACUGAGGGAACACGAAGCCACUGUGUGGCUUGGAACUUGGUUUCAGGAGACUAGGUUUCAGGCCACUGCAUGGCACACCAGGGGAGACUUGGGGUUUGAUACAGCAAAGUUGCUUCAAACUAGGAACUCCUGAAAAAGUGGCUUUGUGUUCCCUCAGCUUUAGAAACUGGGCUAAAGAACACUCUGCCCUUUACUUUUAUAGUACAAAAUGUAAAUACUACUAAUAAUAAUAAUAAUUAUAAUAUUUUUUUCAGUUUUUGUAGAUUAUAAUGGUUUUUCUCUGCAGACGUCAAGUGAUCAUCCCAUUCCAUCUGCUUAUCACAAGACCCAGUGUGGCUGCUGAGCAGGGCAUAGGGAAGCGGGAGCAGCAGUCGGCUGAGCCAUCACAGCCUCCCCCUGGCAUCUCCCCUCCCAGCCAGCUGCCCCGCAGGCCAGCCUUCUUGUGUCACCGUGAUUAAUAUCUUUUCUCUACUGGAGUCUACGACUAACCUGGCUGUUUGGGGAAGUCUAUAAGUUAUAGCCCUGCUCCUAUCAGUAAAAAAAACCCAAAAAAACCCUCAAGUACCAGCUUGAAUGUGUGAAUAAAGGAAGUUUUUGUUCACUAUAUUGACUUCCCUGUUUGAUUUAUAAUUGUCAGGAUUUUUGCCUUUGCCGUUCCAUUCCAUUGCCGUUUGGUUAGAGAGCAGCAAAGCGAGGCAGAAUGGGUAGAAAGCUGUGUCAAAUCAGUGCAAGGGUUUACUGAAUACGUAUAGUUAGCCUUAUAGCGGGGAAACACAGCGUGCGGUAGAGAUCUGAUAUAGUCUGUUCUGGAAAAUAGAAGGCAGUAUAUCCAUCUUUGUAUAUUUAUAUAAUUAACGCCAGAAUGAAGAUAGGAAGUAAGAAGAGGGGAGGGAAUUACACAUCACACCUGCUUCCUAGUCUCCCGAAAGAGCCUACCCUGUGUGAAAAGCUGCUGCAGAAUUGGAGAAGUCUCAGGGCAAAGUCUAAGAUCUGAACUGCUUUUACGGGUAAAUGAAUGAAAACUGGGAAUCGCAAUUUUUUAUUUGACUCUUAAAACUGAGCUGCAGUCUUCUGUUACAAGUAAAUGCUAAUAAAUGCUAGCUUAUAUAUUCUUAUAUAAGCUAUAUGACAUUUAGCUUGUUAGUCCAUCUGCAUUUGUGAUGUUUCUUGUGACUGUAUGAAGUAAAGUGUCAUCUCCAAUUAUUUUCAAAAUUAAUAUCAAUAAAACAGACGUACAGACUUGACA